GAGGGUAUAGCUUAGUGGUAAAAUGAGUACUUAGCAGGCAUGAGGUCCUGGGUUCAAUCCCCAGUACCACCA
rnacentral:tRNA from 1 species